rnacentral:rRNA from 1 species
GAUGAACGCUAGCGGCAGGCUUAAUACAUGCAAGUCGAGGGGCAGCAUGAUUGUAGCAAUACAAUUGAUGGCGACCGGCAAACGGGUGCGGAACACGUACAGAACCUUCCUUCGAGCGGGGAAUAGCCCAGAGAAAUUUGGAUUAAUACCCCAUAGUGCAACGGAGUGGCAUCACUUUGUUGUUAAAGAUUUAUCACUUGAAGAUGGCUGUGCGGCUGAUUAGGUAGUUGGCGGGGUAACGGCCCACCGAGCCUGCGAUCAGUAACUGGUGUGAGAGCACGACCAGUCACACGGGCACUGAGACACGGGCCCGACUCCUACGGGAGGCAGCAGUAAGGAAUAUUGGUCAAUGGACGAAAGUCUGAACCAGCCAUGCCGCGUGGAGGAUGAAGGUCCUCUGGAUUGUAAACUUCUUUUAUAUGGGACGAAAAAAGGGUUUUCUAACUCGUCUGACGGUACCAUAUGAAUAAGCACCGGCUAACUCCGCGCCAGCCGCCGCGGUAACAC